UCCCCAACCAAUGGAGGAUGGGAACAAGCGGAUAAACACUCCAGACUCCCAUUCUGAGGGCUUGUGUGCUGGUCAGCACAACGAUCUGGGGAAUCUGAGAUGAGAAAUCCUUGUCAUGGGCUACAAGCACCAACUUUGGAGGUUCACAGAAUCUGCUUAGGAGUCCAGGCUCUGCUGCUCACUGGCUGAGUAACCUUAAGACAGAAGAGAAUUGAAAAACGAGGACCUUUUCUGCUAUGUGGUUUCACGUUACAGUUACACACCAGAAACUCACCUCAC